UAUUGAUUUCAAUCUUAUUGG
rnacentral:piRNA from 1 species